GUAGUUGGAUUUCUGCAAGGUCAGGUUGGUCCGCUUUUUGAGCGAGUAUCAAAACCCGCCCCGGCAUCACUGUGGGGAGUGUCAAUAUGCCUGAUUGCAUAUAGCGCAAGUCGCAGCUUUUACUUUGAGGAAAAUAGAGUGUUCACGGCAGGUCAAAGCCUCGAAUAUAUUAGCAUGGAAUAAUAUUAUAGGACUCAUGUUCUUAUUUUGUUGGUUUCAGGAGCUAGAGUAAUGGUCGAUAGGGAUUGCUGGGGGCAUUUGUAUUAACGCGUCAGAGGUGGAAUUCUUGGAUUGCGUUACGACAAACUACUGCGAAAGCAUUUGUCAAGAAUGUUUUCAUUGAUCAAGAACGAAAGUAUGGGGAUCGAAGAUGAUUAGAUACCGUCGUAGUCUAUACCAUAAACUAUGCCGACUAGGGAUUGGAGGUCGUUCUAUCUGUGACCCCUUCAGCACCUUACGAGAAAUCAGAGUCUUUGGGUUCCGGGGGGAGUAUGGUCACAAGGCUGAAACUUAAAGGAAUUGACGGAAGGGCACCACCAGGAGUGGAGCCCGCGGCUUAAUUUGACUCAACACGGGGAAACUCACCAGGUCCAGACAUAGUAAGGAUUGACAGAUUGAUAGAUCUUUCUUGAUUCUAUGGGUGGUGGUGCAUGGCCGUUCUUUAGUUGGUGGAGUGAUUUGUCUGGUUAAUUCCGUUAACGAACGAGACCUUAUCCUGCUAAAUAGCUUAUUGUAUCUGCGGAUAUAGACGCGCUUCUUAGAGGGACUUUGUGAAUCUAAGCUCAAGGAAGUUUGAGGCAA
rnacentral:rRNA from 1 species